ACCAUUGUCAUCCAUGCUUUCAGAGGGAC
rnacentral:piRNA from 1 species